UCUUCUCUCUACUAUCUACUCUCGAAUCAGGAGGAAACCAACUCCAUGGAUCGUGGGAGGGCUCCGCCAUUUUCCACACCUCUCCUGCAGUCCACCAGCUCUACCCCUAAUUUGUCCAUCGUGCAGCCAUGACGGUUCCCUACAGACCAGCGGAGCGGUUCGCUCUAUCCUGUGGCCUGGAGCCGGCUCCGGUGGCUUUGCAGAAGGGAAGAUGUCGUCUAGCCGGCGGGGUCCAGCUGAAACUGAAGCGGUGACGCCAAGUUGGGCCGCGAUCUCAGCGCCAGGGCGGCGCUCGACGCAUCGACGCACUCCACGAGCUCGAGCCAUUUUCAUGUCUCUCCUUCCCAUCCUUACCUUCAUGAUUGGAUCUGGAUUCAAAGAUUUCACCGGCUGCCGUUGAGUCGUCAUGGUCUAGGACUCCACCACCACUACACAAUCACAUAUGGAGGCUACUAACUUAUUUGUAGAAUAAAGAGGCCAAUAUAUUUAAUCUUUUUAGGUAUACUUUGGAUUUAAGAAGAAGCUUAAUCAUUGUUAUUUUAUAUAUUUGACAGUUUUGACAUAAACUCUCUCACAUCUACUCAGUUAAUUUGAUUGGGAAGCUUAACGGUCUACGCGCUACUCCCUACCACUGUACAGCAGUAUUUUUGGCAGUGUACUAUCCAAUUCUUAGCAUUCUUUUUUCUGGCAAUAACAAACACGGGAAACCUUAUUUUGAUUUCUGCAAUUGUGUUAUGCUGGUGCAUCAUAUAUCAUCAAGAAAAAAAUAGACAUAAUUGCCAGUAUAGCCGAUUUUGUUUUGGAAUUAAAUGCUUUAGAUCUUGGAUGCCGCUUUAUCUCCUCUGUUAUGUUGACUCAGAUUUUAUUGGACAUAUUAUUCGACUAGCCAUGAGGAGAAAAUUCUUGUUCAACGUGUUCUCAAAAUGUUGACUUCAGAUGUUCUCUUUGAGAAACUAUUGACACAGAGAAGUAAUGACCUUUCUCCGGUUUUGCAUAUUAAGAACUAUUGUUUGUUAAUAUCUCAUCAAUCUUCUUUGACACAAUUACAGUUUUGUAAAUUUCCAAAUUUAUUGGAGAAAAGAGAUCAAAUUUUUCUUCUCAUUCUCAUGCAGCUUCAGAUGUUUUACCCAUUAGCUUUUGCUAUAGGCUUUCGUACAUGUUAUCUUGCUCACAGCAAGAUCUGCAUCCUUGCAUUGUAGAUGGUAGUUGAACCAACUAAUUCAGUAUGAACUAAUAGUGCAGGGGUUCUACAGAUGCAGGGCCACCAAGGAAUGUGUUGCGAGGAAGCACGUGUGGAGUGGUGGUGCUGCAACACCGAGAUGCUCGUGUCACCGACUAGAACAAGGCAACAAAAAGAAUCAUAUGCAGUCACUCGACCUGUCGAUGCUUGCGCAAAUUCAGAAGCUUGACUGAAUCUGCCAAUGCUAGAAGAAGAUAGAAUAACUCUGAAUUUGUAUGCCAUAUAUGGAACAUGUCAUUCAGCCGAUUUUUGGUUAUUCAUCUGACAAAAUAUCUGGAUGCAAAUAAUUUUUUAAUAAGGCCAAGAUUUCACUGCCAUAUUUUUCAUGAUGUAGUGAAUAUUUUUA